rnacentral:rRNA from 1 species
AUUGAACGCUGGCGGCAAGCCUAACACAUGCAAGUCGAACGAGUGGCGGACGGGUGAGUAAUGUCUGGGAAACUGCCAGAUGGAGGGGGAUAACUACUGGAAACGGUAGCUAAUACCGCAUACCAUCGGAUGUGCCCGGAUGGGAUUGGCUAGUAGGGGGGGUAAAGGCUUACCUAGGCGACGAUCCCGAGCUGGUCUGAGAGGAGGACCAGCCCCACUGGAACUGAGACACGGUCCAGACUCCUACGGGAGGCAGCAGUGGGGAAUAUUGCACAAUGGGCGCAAGCCUGAUGCAGCCAUGCCGCGUGUAUGAAGAAGGCCUUCGGGUUGUAAAGUACUUUCAGCGGGGAGGCGUUACCCGCAGAAGAAGCACCGGCUAACUCCGUGCCAGCAGCCGCGGUAAUUC